rnacentral:rRNA from 1 species
GAUGAACGCUGGCGGCGUGCUUAAUACAUGCAAGUCGAACGGAGAUUGCAGCGAUGUAAUCUUAGUGGCGAACGGGUGAGUAACGCGUGGGUGACCUGUCCUUGUGAGGGGGAUAGCCGCUCGAAAGAGUGGGUAAUACCGCGUACGAUCUCUGGAGUGGGUGCCAGAGAUGAAAGCAGAGAUGCGCGCAGGGAGGGGCUCGCGGCCCAUCAGGUAGUUGGUGAGGUGAAGGCUCACCAAGCCUAUGACGGGUAGCUGGUCUGAGAGGAUGAUCAGCCAGACUGGGACUGAGAAACGGCCCAGACUCCUACGGGGGGCAGCAGCGGGGAAUAUUGCACAAUGGGCGAAAGCCUGAUGCAGCGACGCCGCGUGAGGGAAGAAGGUCUUCGGAUUGUAAACCUCUUUUGUCGGGGAAGAUGAUGACGGUACCCGGCGAAUAAGCCCCGGCUAACUACGUG